GACGAACGCUGGCGGCGUGCCUAAUACAUGCAAGUCGAGCGAAUGGAAGGGAGCUUGCUCCCUGAAGUUAGCGGCGGACGGGUGAGUAACACGUGGGCAACCUGCCUGUAAGACUGGGAUAACUUCGGGAAACCGGAGCUAAUACCGGAAACGUUCUUUCCUCGCAUGAGGAAAGAUGGAAAGAUGGUUUCGGCUAUCACUUACAGAUGGGCCCGCGGCGCAUUAGCUAGUUGGUGGGGUAAUGGCCCACCAAGGCGACGAUGCGUAGCCGACCUGAGAGGGUGAUCGGCCACACUGGGACUGAGACACGGCCCAGACUCCUACGGGAGGCAGCAGUAGGGUAUCUUCCGCAAUGGACGAAAGUCUGACGGAGCAACGCCGCGUGAGCGAAGAAGGCCUUCGGGUCGUAAAGCUCUGUUGUCAGGGAAGAACAAGUGCCAGAGUAACUGCUGGCACCUUGACGGUACCUGACCAGAAAGCCACGGCUAACUACGUGCCAGCCGCCGCUGUAAAAC
rnacentral:rRNA from 1 species